CCUACGGGUGGUUGCAGUGAGGAAUAUUGGUCAAUGGCCGGAAGGCUGAACCAGCCAUGCCGCGUGAGUGAAGAAGGUCUUCGGAUUGUAAAGCUCUUUCGGACGUGACGAUGAUGACGGUAGCGUCUAAAGAAGCACCGGCAAACUUCGUGCCAGCAGCCGCGGUAAUACGAAGGGUGCGAGCGUUGUUCGGAAUUACUGGGCGUAAAGGGAGUGUAGGUGGCAUAAUAAGUAGCUAGUGAAAUCUGGUGGCUCAACCAUUCCGACUAUUAGCUAAACUGUUAAGCUCGAGACCGUUAGGGGUAACUGGAAUUUCUAGUGUAGGAGUGAAAUCCGUAGAUAGUAGAAGGAACACCAAUAGCGUAGGCAGGUUGCUGGGACGGUUCUGACACUAAGGCACGAAAGCGUAGGGAGCAAACGGGAUUAGAUACCCCUGUAGUC
rnacentral:rRNA from 1 species